CCCCCGACGCGCACGCGAGAGAAACGUCAUUUAUUUUCUUUUCAAGAAUCGCACGCUUGUUGCGGGUACCUAGUGUUGAAGAAUAAUUAAAAUUUUUAUCGAGAUUUUUAUAUACAAAUUCCGUUUGUAUGUAUAAAAUUUUAGUAGUUUAUUGUGUACUACAAAUAAAUCCGCCUGUAAGCUCGGCUUUGUUUACCGGCAAGUUGCGUGCUGCUGUGCUGUAGCCUCGACGGGAACUUUGUCAUCCCGAUGGACAACCGGAUCACGAUUUUCGAUUGAAAAUCAAAAAAUCGCGCCCCCGUCGCUGGAAAAUUACCGCACUGGAUCUUGGAUGGUGAUUGAAAUCUGGAUGAAGCACAUUUGCGGUGGAUUUGUUGCAAGCGACGACGAUCCAGAUCAUGAUUUCUUGGAGCGCAUUCACCGGAUCAUGUCUAUAUAUCCAUAGAGCGAGAAAAUUGAACGUGAACGGCAAGCGUUACACCGGGGGAUGGUCGGUGUUCGUACGGUUUGCUGGAGGACGACCAAUGGGGUUUGGCGAAACGUCGAUUCCAGGGGCCCGCAUGCAGCAAGGUCUCGAUGCAUGUUAGGUAGGUGUAGUUUUUUCGAGUUUAACGUGCCUGCACCCUCCAUGGUCGAUUCACCGCAACCGACGGAGUUUUCGGAACUGACUAGAUAGUAGAUUAUCAAAGAAGAAAUGCUGAUGGCAUCUCCGCUAGAAACGUCGGUCGAACCGAAAACUUGCUAUAGCAAAAGUUUGCUCUCAGCGCCCGAGUACGGCUGCGGGACGACGACCGUAUCAAGUUAUGGUUGGAAAUUUUGUACAGAGUUAGAUACUGUACGUGCCUAACUCUAUACAAAAUUUCAAAUCAAUCGGUUUGAAAUUGACUUAGUUAUAGCGGCAAGUGCCCAAAUGGUACAAGACCCUAGGUUGGCAAGUAUUUGUGAGAUCAUCACGCAGUUAAAUGCUGUUUUAUACCAUUUGUUUAUUGCUAUUAUUUUGACUAAGAUUAAGGUUGAAUUCUUCUUCAUGGGCUUACGUCCCCACUGGGACACAUCCUGCUUCUCAACUGUUGAGCACUUCCACAGUUACUAACUGAGAGAUUCCUCCGCCAAUAGCAUUUUGCAUGCGUAUAUCGUGUGACAAGCAUGGAGAUAUCUAAUGCCCAAGGAAUAGGCUCCUAAAGUCCUAUCGGGAUUCUUGUUUUAAACCACAAUAUAUGGUUCAAGAGUACAUAUUUACUCAUUUUUUGACGUUUUUAUUAACCGUAGUUGAAAAUCUAGGUGCUGCGGAUAGAAGCGGUUUUAUUUUUCAAGCUAGCCAAUACACACCUGCACACUCCCAUCACACAGCUUGUAAACACGCACGAGCGUUCAAUUUUCUUGCAACCACCUCUCUCAGCGCGAUUGUCAAACACGCUGUUGCGACGCUGUUCGGAAAUGGUAAACAUGAUCAAUCCACCAUUAGGCUAUUCCAAUUUCCACCUAUUCCAAUUUUGUUCUCGUGUUCAAAGUUCAUUGUUUUCCAUUCGUGAUGGAAAUUUUGAUGGAUAGUUGUUACAAAAUCAGCUAAAAUUGACCAAUCCAAAUUCCUGUGUGGUAGUGGUUUGUGUUCAGAUUUCCCGUGUUAAUCUAUCUGUAAGAACUUUGAAAACAUCUUUUGUUCUCACGUAGGGGGUUGUGGGGCAAGAUGGCCACCCUAAGCUUAGGCGCCUUGGGAGCAUAUACUUUCAUUAGAAUAUGGCUAUUUAACACUUAUUCCCUUUGUUUCAUGUCUUUUCUAUCUUAUUAACACAAAAAAGCAUUUUAGUUUGCACUACCAUUGCAAAAUAAAUUCAUUUGAAAAAUGUUACUUUCGACAUAGAAUUUUUGCCAUAUGGGGCAAGAUGGCCACCCCAUCGGGGCAAGACGACCACAGAGCUAAAUUUUUACAAUAAGUAUGUUUUAAUCCCUAAGCAACGUUCAAUAAACCAAGGUCAAAUCAUCCGCAACGCUUUGCCCACAGAUGGUGUGGUAUUUGCCACCAUUUUCUUUAUGAUAAUGUUUGAAAUAAAAUUGAUAGAAAUUUAUUUGGAAAUGUUCUAUGAUUUGGUCUAUUUUUUCAGCAAACUUGUUUUUCUCGAAACGAUUUAGAUACAUUACUACUCUUUUCAUGCAUUAUACUGUAAUUCAACGUCUUGUAACGAACCCUUAUAGCGGUUUUAGCUACGAUUUUCCAUCCCUGUGCCAAAAUAGGGAAUCGCGCCACUUGGGCGGUGGCUUCUAUUUUCGUCUGUUUUCCGCUAUAACUCAGUCAAAUUUGAAGCAACUGACACAAUUUUUGGAAUGCGGUGAGAUAGGUAUAGUAUCUACCCGUGUACAACAUUUCAAGUGAACUGGUUCAAAACCGACUGAGUUAUAGUCGAAAACAGACGAAUAUAGAAGCCACCGCCCAAGUGGCGCGAUACCCUAUUCAAUGAAACCAAUCACCGUUCAACAGCAAAUAACUUCAAAGUAUUUCUGAGGUAUCAUCUCCAUCGUAAUUAAUUUUAACAGCUUCAACUAAUAUGAAAAAAAAACAAUUUUCUGUGGUUUUGCAAUAUCUCUAAACAUCAAUAACAGUUUUAAGGCUGCUUUAGAUUGAUUUUUGGAUGGCGACAAAGGCCUUACCACAGGUGGCCAUCUUGCCCCGAAUGAUUACGUUACGU